rnacentral:rRNA from 1 species
GAACGCUGGCGGCGUGCCUAACACAUGCAAGUCGAACGGAGUUAUUCGCUGAUGAAGCUUCGGCAGAAUCUUGAGUAAACUUAGUGGCGGACGGGUGAGUAACGCGUGGGCAACCUGCCUCAUACUGGGGGAUAGCAGUUGGAAACGACUGAUAAUACCGCAUAAGCGCACGAGAUCGCAUGAUCUAGUGUGAAAAACUCCGGUGGUAUGAGAUGGGCCCGCGUCAGAUUAGCUAGUUGGUAAGGUAACGGCUUACCAAGGCGACGAUCUGUAGCCGGACUGAGAGGUCGGACGGCCACAUUGGGACUGAGACACGGCCCAAACUCCUACGGGAGGCAGCAGUGGGGGAUAUUGCACAAUGGAGGAAACUCUGAUGCAGCGACGCCGCGUGAAGUGAAGAAGUAUUUCGGUAUGUAAAGCUCUAUCAGCAGGGAAGAAAGGCUCUAAGGAGAGAUGACGGUACCUGACUAAGAAGCCCCGGCUAACUACGUGCCAGCAGCCGC